UACGGAGGGUGCAAGCGUUAUCCGGAAUCACUGGGUUUAAAGGGUGCGUAGGCGGAAGAAUAAGUCAGAGGUGAAAUCCCGUCGCUUAACGACGGAACUGCCUUUGAUACUGUUUUUCUUGAAUGAGGUUGAGGUUAGCGGAAUGUGGCAUGUAGCGGUGAAAUGCAUAGAUAUGCCAUAGAACACCGAUUGCGAAGGCAGCUAACUGGACCUUUAUUGACGCUGAGGCACGAAAGCGUGGGGAGCGAACAGG
rnacentral:rRNA from 1 species